rnacentral:lncRNA from 12 species
CUGCUUUUGUGAUCCAUAUUCUGGGUUUCCACUCUCCAAGAAGGAAAGACAGAUUUUUAUUUGCAUUCAUCUGGACAAUGUGUGUGCUUUAAAAUUUCCAUAGCUCUACCACUGCUUGUGAACUGUGAAGUGUCUGGAAGCUCAAGCGGUACCUGGAUCUACAGAGCUGUGCUUCUGGUUGAAAAUGAAGAAAAGCUUCCAACAAAGAUCAGAGGGCAAAUUGGGUGAUUUUGAAACUUAACAGGUUUAGACAUUCCUUAGGUUUAUUACCACAAAGCAGACCAGGCUGGCAAAGGAGCCAGCAGGCCCCGCGGUCCUUCUGUGCAGCGCGCUUGCAACAGCUGCUCUGACUAACGCACCUCCCGGGGGUGAUGGAUGUGCCCACUGCCGGGGAAGACCCAGGCGGAUGCAGAUGUUGCUGCAUGAGGAGAAGGACUCUCUGUUCCUGUUUUCCUAGCCCUGGGGAUCACGAGGAGAUUUAAUUAUACUGGACUUUCUCUCCACUCAUCAGCAGAAAAGUGCAGAAUAAAUAGACGCACUUGAAUAGAGAUUACAGAAACUCUGAAAUAAAGCAAACACCAGCUACA